AUGAUAUGCCUCAGCUGGAACUGCCGGGGGCUUGGGAACCCCGAGGCAGUUCGCGAGCUUCGCAAUGUUGUGAAGCAAGAAGGGCCCGUACUAGUCUUUGUCAUGGAAACAAAGAUUAGAGGGAAACGUGUUGAGAGAUUGCAACAAACCUUAGGGUUUGCAGGCUGCUUUGUUGUUGACAGCGAUGGGUUAAGCGGAGGUAUCGGCCUCUUCUGGUCCACAGAUGUG
rnacentral:rRNA from 1 species